GGGCGGUGUGUACAAGGGCAGGGACGUAAUCAAUGCGAGUUAAUGACUCACACUUACUGGGAAUUCCAAGUUCAUGUGAACAGUUUCAGUUCACAAUCCCAAGCAUGAAAGUGGUUCAGCGGUUUACCCGGACCUCUCGGUCUAGGAAAUACACGUUGAUACUUUCAUUGUAGCGCGCGUGCAGCCCAGGACAUCUAAGGGCAUUACAGACCUGUUAUUGCUCAAUCUCAUUAUUGCUAGACGCAAUUUGUCCAUUUAAGAAGCUAGUGUCCUUAUAAUGGGACAAACCAACAGGUACGGCUCCACUUGAAUAAACACAUUCAAACACUUAUACAUUUUACUGCAGUCAUGAAUGAAGGCUACACAAGCUUCAGCACCAUAAUCCUGAAAGCAUCUAUUUAAUAUAUUUGAGUCUCGUUCGUUAUCGGAAUUAACCAGACAAAUCACUCCACGAACUAAGAAUGGCCAUGCACCACCACCCAUAGAUUCGAGAAAGAGCUAUCAAUCUGUCUUACACACUUAUGUUCGGACCUGGUAAGUUUUCCCGUGUUGAGUCAAAUUAAGCCGCAGGCUCCACUCCUGGUGGUGCCCUUCCGUCAAUUCCUUUAAGUUUCAGCUUUGCAACCAUACUUCCCCCGGAGCCCAAAAGCUUUGGUUUCCCGGGAAGCGACUGAGAGAGCCAUGAAAGUAGCUACACCCAAUUGCUAGCUGGCAUCGUUUAUGGUUAGAACUAGGGCGGUAUCUGAUCGCCUUCGAACCUCUAACUUUCGUUCUUGAUUAAUGAAAACAUCUUUGGCAAAUGCUUUCGCUU
rnacentral:rRNA from 1 species